rnacentral:rRNA from 1 species
GAAUAUUGGACAAUGGGGGGAACCCUGAUCCAGCCAUGCCGCGUGUGUGGAGAAGGCCUUUUGGUUGUAAAGCACUUUAAGCGAGGAGGAGGCUACCUGGAUUAAUACUUUAGGCUAGUGGACGUUACUCGCAGACUAAGCCCCGGCCAACUCUUGGCCGACACCCGCGGUACUACAGAGGGUGCGAGCGUUAACCGGAUUUACUGGGCGUAGGGCGUGCGUAGGCGGCCAAUUAAGUCAAAUGUGAAAUCCCCGAGCUUAACUUGGGAAUUGCAUUCGAUACUGGUUGGCUAGAGUAUGGAAGAGGAUGGUAGAAUUCCAGGUGUAGCGGUGAAAUGCGUAGAGAUCUGGAGGAAUACCGAUGGCGAAGGCAGCCAUCUGGCCUAAUACUGACGCUGAGGUACGAAAGCAUGGGGAGCAAACAG